CAAAAUUGAGUAGAAUACUUAUAUCAUUUAAAAGAGAGAUGUUAAAUAAAGGAUCUGAGGAUAAGAAGAAAUAAAAAAGGAUUCGAUGAACAGGCUUAGAAAGAUUAUGGAACUUAAGAUUGAGAUUAGCACUGUUGCUUGUAAAAGAAAGAGAUACAAUCAUUGUAACAGUUCGAUUCGAAGACGUGCUAAUAUCUUAAUUCUCCAUUAUAAAUUAUAAUAUCAUGAGAUAUGAGGCGUUAUUCAUAUUGAACAAGACUCAGGGAUUGACGAACACGCAUGCCGUUUCUGGGAAAUGGAAGAAGAUGUGGGACUCAAAGGAUCUACUAAACAUUAAUGAAGAACGAGCUUGUUUGUUAAGAAAUUAAUUAGAAGACGGAAGAAAAUAGACUUCCUUACACAAUGCGUUUGUGGUAUAUGUUGUUACUAUUUAGAUUCAGUAUAUUACUUAUUAUGUAUGUAUUUUCAUUUGUUAUUUUUCUUCUUUUCGUUUCGUUUAUGGGCGUCUCUAAGUUUAUAAUACCCAAAAAUAUUUAUGAUCGUCACAAGUUACCUGUGAUUUGUGUUUGAACAGGAGAUAUUAACAAAAAAGACAGGAGGAUUCAGAAAGAAAUAUAUGUCCUUUCUUUUGGUUCUUUAUUAAUUGGAAGAGAGGUCAGUAGUGCCUUACUAGUGGUCAAUUUUAUUCAGUAAGUGACUACAGAUACGAUUAGUUCUCCAGAAUUAAAAUCUAUGUUCCAUGGACUUGGGAGGUUGGAAGGAGAAUACGAAAUUGAAAUGGAAUCAAAUAUGGAGCCUUACAGAAUAAUGAAUCCAAGGAGGAUAUCAAUUCCACUCCACCUCUGGUAAAACAAGAAUUGGAAAGGCUCGUAAAACUAGAUGUCAUUGAAAUAUGCAUAUCCAAGGAUUUUGAUUCGAUUUUGAAUUUUUAGAGAAAUCCUAUUUAUUAUGGAGAUGUACUAGCACAUAUGUAACACUAUCUUAAUAAUUUUAACUAUUUCAAUGUAACAAUAAUGACGUCAUACUCCAUAAUAAAUAAUAAUAAUUGAUA
rnacentral:lncRNA from 1 species